CGAUGAAUCACGUGGGCAUCUUGUUAAAAUGCAGAGUUUUGAGUCGAGGGUCUGGGGAGGGCUGAGAUUGUGCACUUCUAAGGAGAUGCCAGGUGGUGCUAAUUCUGCUGCACUGGACACCACACUUAGAGUGGCGAGGUCACUAAAUAAUAGGAGCAAAAGGAUCGUGAGAACACCGACAUCAGUGAGAAGGAGGCUGGCUGCAGAGACCAUGAAUGGAGCUACCACAUGGUCAGGAGGAAGAGACUCACAAAGAAAGAUGAAGGUUGCAGAGAGGUGCUAUGGAAAUAGCACAUGCUAAAGGAGUCUUCUAAGCAGCCCAGAGGCGAUGACAUACCAGUGCCAGCAGAGGAGGAGAACCACGCUUCAGUAUAACAAAAACUUCAAUGAAUCAUGCUCAAUGUGGAAAAGUCGAAUAGACAUGGCUGAGGAUAAAAGAAAAGAACGUACACAUAAUCUCACUACCCAGAGAGAAGCAAUGUUGACAUAUUUCUCUUCCUCAAUGCAUAUUUAUAUAUUGUUGAUAUUUUUACUGUCUGUGCAAUUUUGCUUUAAUUAAACAUUUAGAUUAUG
rnacentral:lncRNA from 10 species